AGCCGCGAACGGGUGAGUAACACGUGGGUUACCUGCCUCGAUGACCGGGACAACCCGAGGAAACUCGGGCUAAUACCGGAUGUGCCCGCAAGGGGAAAGGAAGCUUCGGCCUCCGCAUCGAGAUGGGCCCGCGGCCCAUUAGCUUGUUGGUGAGGUAACGGCUCACCAAGGCUUUGAUGGGUAGCUGGUCUGAGAGGACGAUCAACCACACUGGGACUGAGACACGGCCCAG
rnacentral:rRNA from 1 species